CAGUCGCCGCGGGAAUACGUAGGUGGCAAGCGUUGUCCGGAAUUAUUGGGCGUAAAGGGCUCGCAGGCGGUUUCUUAAGUCUGAUGUGAAAGCCCCCGGCUCAACCGGGGAGGGUCAUUGGAAACUGGGAAACUUGAGUGCAGAAGAGGAGAGUGGAAUUCCACGUGUAGCGGUGAAAUGCGUAGAGAUGUGGAGGAACACCAGUGGCGAAGGCGACUCUCUGGUCUGUAACUGACGCUGAGGAGCGAAAGCGUGGGGAGCGGACAGGAUUAGAUACCCGUGUAGUCCCUGUCUCUUAUAC
rnacentral:rRNA from 1 species